rnacentral:piRNA from 1 species
UUUGUCUCUCUUUUUUCCUGG